rnacentral:rRNA from 1 species
UACGAGGGGGGCAAAUGUUGUUCGGAAUCACUGGGCGUAAAGGGAGCGUAGGCGGGUUCUUUAAGUAAGGUGUUUAAUCCCGGGGCCCAACCCCGGACCGGCACUUUAAACUGGAUCUUGAAUAGUGGAGAGGUCAGUGGAAUUGGGGGUGUAGCGGUGGAAUGCGUAGAGAUCCCCAAGAACACCAGUUGCGAAGGCGACUUACUGGACACAUAUUGACGCUGAGGUGCGAAAGCGUGGGGAGCGAACAGG